UUUAAGUUAAUCUAAUUUGAAAAGGAACUCACACACUCCAAGAAGAAACAAUCUAACACGUAUUGCGAAUUGAAAAAAGGAAAAAUUACAAAAUCAUGUUACCUCAAGUCUUUCCUUCACCGUAUUGCUCCUGACUUGCAUUAAUGUGGUAUCUUCAGGACAUUUGCUGCUAAGCUUCACCAGUCACAGCAGGUGUGUUUCUCUUGAGCACUGCAUCUGACCCCACUCAUGGAAAAAUGUUUGUUGAAUGAGUCAGUGAGUGAGGAGGCAGCUGAAUAUCUCCAUUCCAGUUGGAAGCAAGGAGCUGAAAGGGGAGGUGUGAAUAAAGAGGUCUAUAAAAGUCUCCAAGGAGCCAGAAGGACCUGAGUCAUGAGAGCUGUCAUCAUCACUGCGAUCCUCUGUGAGGUCAGAGCAGAUGGCUCUGCCAGCAGUGUCUGGAGCUGGUGAGUCAGAACCUCAGUCUGAGAACACCAUCUUGCCACCCUUAGCCAGAGUCUCUACAGGUGUACAGGCCAUGAUCACCCAGUUUUCCUUUUCCUUCUUUGCAGAAGAACAGAAUUCAGGCUGUGCUUUGGCCUGUAAAUGCAAUUUUGUUUUAUCUUCAUCUCAAACAUUUUGAUUUCUGUUUAGACCUAUGAACUUUACCAAUGUUUAUAGGUAUUUCUUAACCAAGAAGUGUUUGUAAAAUACAGAACAGCUAACUCAUCAGGAUUUUAUUUAAUGACAUUUUCAAUAUUCAGUUUUGUGCCCAGAAAUUGUAUUUCAUGUCAUUCAUGGUUUUGUGAUCUUAUUACUUUGACUCCCUUUAAAAAGCUUAAGAAAAUAGAAGACCUCAACCAACAAAUCACAAGCAAAGAGAUCCAAUCAUUCAUCAAAAAGCUUCCCACAAAUAAAUGCCC